UCUGCCCCUCCCCACUCCGAAGCAUAGGCUACUGCACUGAUGUUACAAGCUUGAUUCAGAAGACAGGGAGAGUGAUAUUUAAUUAGCUUGAGAAGAAUGGAUUAACUUUUUCCAAUGCUAGUUAAGGAUACUAUAGGUCUAGUUAUCACAUUUCAAGUUGGAUUUAUUAACUACAAAAAGGGUGCCUUGCAGCCUUCCGAGCCUUCCUGCAGUCCGAAUUCAGUGAGGAGAAUAUUGAAUUUUGGCUAGCAUGCAUAGACUACAGAAGGACCACCUCACCGGCUGACCUGUCCUGGAAAGCAACAGAGAUCUACCAGGAGUUCCUCCAUCCCUAGGCGUGGAGAGAGAUCAACGUUGACCACCACAUCCAUGAGAAGAUCAACAGGUACAUGAAAGCUCCUGGUCUGUGCUGCUUUGACGAGGCAGUGAGACACGUGUACAAACUGAUGGAGAGCGACUCGUACUCCAGGUUCCUCAGAUCAGACGCCUACCUGGGGCUCAGACGCAAAGCCAGGACCUUCUGGUCGACGUUAGGGGUCAAGAGUCCCUAGACUUCCUGGCGCUGACGGAAACAUGGAUCACCACAGAUAACACUGCUACUCCUACUGCUCUCUCCUCGUCUGACUACGUGUUCUCGCAUACCCCUAGAGCAUCGAGCCAGCGGGGUGGUGGCACUGGAAUCCUCAUCUCUCCCAAGUGGACAUUCUCUCUUUCUCCCCUGACCCAUCUGUCUAUCUCCUCAUUUGAAUUCCAU